UGUGUGUGUGUGUGUGUGUGUGUGUAUACAUAUACAUAUACACACACAUACACACAUG
rnacentral:miRNA from 1 species